rnacentral:rRNA from 1 species
AAAGUCUGACCUGCCCAAUGAAGGAAUUUAAAUGGCUGCGGUAUAAUGACCGUACAAAGGUAGCAUAAUAAUUAGGUUUUUAAUUGAAACCUGGUAUGAAGGGUUGAACGAGAAAAAAGCUGUCUCAAUUAUAAAUUUAAUUAGAAUUUUAUUUUUAAGUUAAAAAGCUUAAAUAAUUUUAAAAGACGAGAAGACCCUAUAGAGUUUUAUAUUAAUUUUUAUAUUAAAUUUUUAGAAUAAUUUUAUUUAAAAUAAUAAUUUAAUAUUUAGUUGGGGUGAUUAAAAAAUUUAAGGAACUUUUUUAAUUUUAGUUCAUUGAUAUAUGUGUAUAUGAUCCA